AUGCUCACUUUGGCAGCAUGUAUACUAAAGCUGGAGUGACACAGAGAAGAUUAGCAUGGCCCCUGUGCAGGGAUAACAUACAAAUUGGUGAAACAUUCCAUAGUUUU